rnacentral:rRNA from 1 species
GAUCAUGGCUCAGGAUGAACGCUAGCUACAGGCUUAACACAUGCAAGUCGAGGGGCAGCAUGAACUUAGCUUGCUAAGUUUGAUGGCGACCGGCGCACGGGUGAGUAACACGUAUCCAACCUUCCGUACACUCAGGGAUAGCCUUUCGAAAGAAAGAUUAAUACCUGAUGGUAUCUUAAGCACACAUGUAAUUAAGAUUAAAGAUUUAUCGGUGUACGAUGGGGAUGCGUUCCAUUAGGUAGUAGGCGGGGUAACGGCCCACCUAGCCUACGAUGGAUAGGGGUUCUGAGAGGAAGGUCCCCCACAUUGGAACUGAGACACGGUCCAAACUCCUACGGGAGGCAGCAGUGAGGAAUAUUGGUCAAUGGACGAGAGUCUGAACCAGCCAAGUAGCGUGCAGGAUGACGGCCCUAUGGGUUGUAAACUGCUUUUAUAAGGGAAUAAAGUGGGAGUCGUGACUCUUUUUGCAUGUACCUUAUGAAUAAGGACCGGCUAAUUCCGUG